UGGGGAAUAUUGGACAAUGGAGGAAACUCUGAUCCAGCAAUUCUGUGUGUGUGAAGAAGGUUUUAGGACUGUAAAACACUUUUAGUAGGGAAGAAAAAAAUGACGGUACCUACAGAAGAAGCAACGGCUAAAUACGUGCCAGCAGCCGCGGUAAUACGUAUGUUGCGAGCGUUAUCCGGAAUUAUUGGGCUUAAAGGGCAUCUAGGCGGUAAGACAAGUUGAAGGUGAAAACCUGUGGCUCAAACAUAGGCUUGCCCACAAAACUGUUGAACUAGAGUACUGGAAAGGUGGGUGGAACUACACGAGUAGAGGUGAAAUUCGUAGAUAUGUGUAGGAAUGCCGAUGAUGAAGAUAACUCACUGGACAGAAACUGACGCUGAAGUGCGAAAGCUAGGGGAGCAAACAGG
rnacentral:rRNA from 1 species